UUAAACACGUUGAAAAGGACAGUCUUUGUUAACUGACUAAACAGCGAGCGGGGUUGGUGUGAGCCCGUGAGAAAGUGCAAAGAGAUCCCCUUGGAGUGAAAGGCUGAAAGGUUAAGUAAGCUUUGUUCGGUUUGUCCCCGUUAAAAGACUUCCGAGUGGCUUUAGAGCAACAUGGGUGGUACCGCGAGUAAUCUCGUCCCUAUU
rnacentral:ncRNA from 1 species